CAGAAAGGAAAAAAAAAUCAUUCACAAAUUGGUGAUUGCUGUGUAUACAACACGCUCACAUUAAUCGAAGCUUUCGUGCCGCGGGUAGUCGUGAGUGUAUAAACAAUUUUUAAAUAUUUUCUGUCGUAUAUCUGCUGUAUUGUGUCAAAUCUAAUAAGAUCAUUGCUGGUAUAACUGUUUGCUGAUAACAAUGCAAUCGGAUAAAUAAAAUUUUAUGCACAAAAUUACGUAACACUUAACGUUGAACAGUGAUUACAACAACAAUCACUAAUUUAUAUGCAUAGAAAGCUAUAAGUGAUUAAAGCAGACGUCGAGAAACAGUGAUGGAC